rnacentral:rRNA from 1 species
UGCAGUCGAACGAGAAAGCUCUCUUCGGAGAGUGAGUACAGUGGCGAACGGGUGAGUAACAGGUGGAAAACCUGCCCUAUAAUGGGGGAUAACAGUUCUAACGAGCUGCUAAUACCGCAUACGACCUUUGGAUCGCAUGUUCCGAAGGUGAAAGGUGGCCUCUCUUUGAAGCUGCCGUUAUAGGAUGGUUCCGCCUCCCAUUAGCUUGUUGGUGGGGUAAUGGCCUACCAAGGCGACGAUGGGUAGCCGGCCUGAGAGGGUGUCCGGCCACACUGGGACUGAGAUACGGCCCAGACUCCUACGGGAGGCAGCAGUCGAGAAGCUUCGGCAAUGGGCGAAAGCCUGACCGAGCGAUGCCGCGUGAGUGAAGAAGGCCCUAUGGGUUGUAAAGCUCUGUCAGAUUGGGAAGAAAACUCUACGGUUAAUACCCGUGGAGCUUGACGGUACCAUCAGAGGAAGCACCGGCUAACUCCGUGCCAGCAGCCGCGGUAAUACG